rnacentral:lncRNA from 1 species
UGCUUAAUUCGAAAAUAAAAAUGGCUAAAAGAGAAAGAGACGAAACAUAAUUUUUAUAAAAAAUGGUGAUAUUUUAUAUGUUAAAUUGCGAGAUUUUGUGGUGGGAGGAACUUAUGUGCAAAUACAUAUGUGGGUAAAUUUUGAAUAAAAAAUUUGAACCGAAGGGGCUAAAUAUAAUUUUUUACAAAAAUAAAAAAGCACGCUUUCACGGACUUAGCGUUUUCGUUCGCAAAGCCCGUGCGGCGCCCACCUUUCUUUGCAGAGAUGGACAAGCUAGGCUUUGUCCCUGUUGUUAGCCCGGACCUUCGCGUCCUACGACUAAGUAUGCAAAAGGGAAGUAACGAGAGAGAGAGACAGAGGUUCACUCAAAAAAACUAAGUACUCCACUACUUAGAAUAAGAGAUUACAGCAUACAUACACACUCACUCUUGUGUGCUUUGGCCUUAGCCAAACCCUACUAUUUAUAGGCCUAUGGAUACAAUAACCUAGCCACAUAACUCAUCUACUAGCCUACUCAUAAUGAGCCCUCAUAAUAGCCAAAAGCCCAAGAGUCACACCAUAACUCAUGGCAAUUAUGUAACCCUUGAGUUUCCCACAGCGCGUUGGGUUUGGGUCUCCUUUACAACCCGAUUCAACUCGUUUUCGCUAGCAGA